rnacentral:rRNA from 1 species
CCUACGGGAGGCAGCAGUGAGGAAUAUUGGUCAAUGGACGAGAGUCUGAACCAGCCAAGUAGCGUGAAGGAUGAAGGUCCUACGGAUUGUAAACUUCUUUUAUAAGGGAAUAAACCCUCCCACGUGUGGGAGCUUGUAUGUACCUUAUGAAUAAGCAUCGGCUAACUCCGUGCCAGCAGCCGCGGUAAUACGGAGGAUGCGAGCGUUAUCCGGAUUUAUUGGGUUUAAAGGGUGCGUAGGCGGCCUUUUAAGUCAGCGGUGAAAGUCUGUGGCUCAACCAUAGAAUUGCCGUUGAAACUGGGGGGCUUGAGUAUGUUUGAGGCAGGCGGAAUGCGUGGUGUAGCGGUGAAAUGCUUAGAUAUCACGAAGAACUCCGAUUGCGAAGGCAGCUCACUGGACUGCAACUGACACUGAUGCUCGAAAG